rnacentral:tRNA from 1 species
GAGAAUUGGCUGAGUGGUUUAAAGCGGCGGUCUUGAAAACCGUUGACGUGAGAGCGUCCGCAGGUUCGAAUCCUGUGUUCUC